CACUAGCCCCGAUUGCAGCAAUUGUUUGAGCUCAUUUUUCUUUGCAAAAGAAAAAUAGCGAGUGCGGAAAGCGGGAAAUAGC
rnacentral:misc_RNA from 1 species